rnacentral:rRNA from 1 species
CUACGGGGUGCACCAGUGGGGAAUAUUGCACAAUGGAGGAAACUCUGAUGCAGCAACGCCGCGUGGAGGAUGACACUUUUCGGAGCGUAAACUCCUUUUAUAUAGGAAGAAGAUGACGGUACUAUAUGAAUAAGCGCCGGCUAACUCCGUGCCAGCAGCCGCGGUAAUACGGAGGGCGCAAGCGUUACUCGGAAUCACUGGGCGUAAAGAGCGUGUAGGCGGAUUAAAAAGUCAGAAGUGAAAUCCUAUAGCUUAACUAUAGAACUGCUUCUGAAACUCUUAAUCUAGAAUGUGGGAGAGGUAGAUGGAAUUUCUGGUGUAGGGGUAAAAUCCGUAGAGAUCAGAAGGAAUACCGAUUGCGAAGGCGAUCUACUAGAACAUUAUUGACGCUGAGACGCGAAAGCGUGGGGAGCAAACAGGAUUAGAUACCCGGGUAGUC